CAGUCGCCACGGGAAUACGUAGGGUGCAAGCGUUAAUCGGAAUUACUGGGCGUAAAGCGUGCGCAGGCGGUUAUAUAAGACAGAUGUGAAAUCCCCGGGCUCAACCUGGGAACUGCAUUUGUGACUGUAUAGCUAGAGUACGGCAGAGGGGGAUGGAAUUCCGCGUGUAGCAGUGAAAUGGGUAGAUAUGCGGAGGAACACCGAUGGCGGAGGCAAUCCCCUGGGCCUGUACUGACGCUCAUGCACGAAAGCGUGGGGAGCAAACAGGAUUAGAUACCCGAGUAGUCCCUGUCUCUUAUAA
rnacentral:rRNA from 1 species